AUGGAGUGGCAGAGGAUCUACUGGCAACAAAGAUCUACCAUUAGGUGGGUCAAAUUUGGAGAAGCUAAUUCAAAGUAUUUUCAAGCAAAGGCCACAAUUAAAUACAGAGCGAACCACAUUGAUAGUCUGCAAGACGAGGCUGGUAAUAUUUGCAGGGAACAUAAUGUAAAGGCUAGUAUCCUCUUAAAUGCUUUCAAAAAAAGGCUUAGCACAUCCACUCCUACUUUUAAUAUCCUCGAAUUGGACACUUUGGUUGAUAGAACUACUGAUCUAACAGUUCUGGAGCAACCUUUCUCUAAAGCUGAAAUUGAUAGAGUGCUUCAGAAUCUGCCUGCUGAUAAAGCCCCUGGGCCUGAUGGUUUCAACACUGAUUUUGUUAAAUUCUGUUGGGACAUCAUUUCCCCAGAUUUCUAUGCAUUGAUAGAUGAUUUCUUCAAAGGAACCAUCAGUUUGCAGAGCAUCAACAUUUCUUAUAUUACACUCAUUCCAAAGAAAGAUGCACCAGCUACACCAAAUGACUCCAGGCCCAUUUCUCUACUCAACUGUUCCAUAAAGAUUAUCACCAAGCUACUUGCCAACGGACUACAGAUAGUAAUUCUGAAGCUGGUUCAUACAAAUCAAUAUGGGUUCCUUAAAUCAAGAUCUAUCCAGGAUUGCUUGGCCCUGGGCUUAUGA
rnacentral:rRNA from 1 species